UCGGUCUCAUUUUUCCUUACAGAUGGGUUAAGGCGCACAGAGAACAAUCGAAGAAAGCCCUCUGGUUGGAAUGUGGUUCAGCUCACAGAAGCCGUGGUGUUUGGAGAAGGAAGAUGCUUUCUGCAAUUUCAGUGAUGCUCCAUGGAUUGAACCCAGGGGCACUUAACCACUCCUGUUUUUGUCUUCAGUAUCUCAUGACCUGUCCUAAGGAAUUUGCCUCCCAGGGUGAAUGCAGGUUGCCCUGAUGGUGAUAUAUUUUUCCAUCUUACGAUAGUCAUUGGUCUGCCCAGGACCAGACAUCUGAAAGAGUUGGAAGUGGAGCAGCUCAUUUCCAUCCAGCAUUAACAGGCACUGUUACCAGUACUUGAUUCAAAGGUCCAUCAUGUUAUCUGGAUCCCAGGAAUGAUUUGAGAGAAAGCAACCUAUGUCUCUGCCCAAUUUCAACCUGAAGUUAAAGGUCCGAGGAAAAAAGGUGCAGCAGGUGUCCAAGUCUUAAAGGACAUCAGGAAGUGGAUUUCCAGAUCCUUUGUUGUUAGCACACAUCUUCCUAAUAAAGCUCUUUCUUAACCUUUA